UAGGCAGGAAGUGUACGCACGGACCAAAGACGUGUUCAGCUGACCUGUACUAAUAGGCCGAUCACUUACACACCA
rnacentral:rRNA from 1 species